rnacentral:rRNA from 1 species
UACGUAGGGCGCAAGCGUUAUCCGGAAUUAUUGGGCGUAAAGAGCUCGUAGGCGGUUUGUCGCGUCUGCCGUGAAAGUCCGGGGCUCAACUCCGGGCCUGCAGUCGAUACGGGCGGACUUGAGUGUUGCAGGGGAGACUGGAAUUCCUGGUGUAGCGGUGAAAAUGCGCAGAUAUCAGGAGGAACACCGGUGGCGAAGGCGGGUCUCUGGGCAACUACUGACGCUGAGGAGCGAAAGCGUGGGGAGCGAACAGG